rnacentral:rRNA from 1 species
AAGGGCACCACAAGAACGCGUGGAGCAUGUGGCUUAAUUUGACUCAACGCGGGAAAUCUUACCGGGUCCGGACACACUGAGGAUUGACAGGCAACAAUGCAGGCAGACUAUUUUUAGUCAGCCUGCAUCUAAAUUAUGCUAGUCCUUUCAUGAUUAUGUGAUAGGUGGUGCAUGGCCGUUCUUAGUUCGUGGAGUGAUCUGUCUGCUUAAUUGCGUUUCACCAUGGAUCAAUGAUAACGUGUGUGGUUUCUCUCGGCGAAUGUUACCGCAGUGUAAAAGCUGACUGGUCUUCGCAUUUGAGAGGAAUUAGCGCACAUUUGGUCCUGAAAGCAACGAACGUGACCGCAUCCUCUUGUUGCCUUAAAACUUGCACAGGGCACCUUGUGUGCGUCUUUCGUGCUAACAAAAAGAGGCUCUUGAAAACUAGAGGGACCGCUGCGACUUUUUUAAACCAGAGGAAGGUUGCGGCAAUAACAGGUCUGUGAUGCCCUUAGAUGUUCCGGGCUGCACACGUGCUACAAUGAUUAUUGCAGUGAGCAUCUCAUAUGUAAACGCUGUGUGCACAGGCGGAGCCAGUUUUCCAACUGGUCUCUCCUAUGCACUGCAGUCAAGCCUGCUUCGAAAGUUCGCAGGUAACCAAUUGGAAGUAAUGAUUUCCCUUAACUCAGAUUUAUUUCUGUUUUUUAAUGAGCACACAAUAUGCGGCUCCCUUCCCUGGCUUUCAGCAACUUUGUCUGUUAGCCUUUGUGUGUUGGGAUGCUUUAGCAUGUGCUUUUGUCAAUUCAUGGUGGGGACAGACCAUUGUUAAUUGUUGGUCUCGUCUUAACUAGGAAUGCCUUGUACGGGUCUUUGGUUCAACAAACCACCCGGAAUACGUCCCUGCCCUUUGUACACACCGCCCGUC